rnacentral:rRNA from 1 species
GACGGACGCUGGCGGCGUGCUUAACACAUGCAAGUCGAACGGAAAGGCCCUGCUUUUGUGGGGUGCUCGAGUGGCGAACGGGUGAGUAACACGUGAGUAACCUGCCCUUGACUUUGGGAUAACUUCAGGAAACUGGGGCUAAUACCGGAUAGGAGCUCCUGCUGCAUGGUGGGGGUUGGAAAGUUUCGGCGGUUGGGGAUGGACUCGCGGCUUAUCAGCUUGUUGGUGGGGUAGUGGCUUACCAAGGCUUUGACGGGUAGCCGGCCUGAGAGGGUGACCGGCCACAUGGGGACUGAGAUACGGCCCAGACUCCUACGGGAGGCAGCAGUGGGGAAUAUUGCACAAUGGGCGGAAGCCUGAUGCAGCAACGCCGCGUGCGGGAUGACGGCCUUCGGGUUGUAACCGCUUUCGCCUGUGACGAAGCGUGAGUGACGGUAAUGGGUAAAGAAGCACCGGCUAACUACGUG